rnacentral:tRNA from 1 species
GCUCCUGUAGUUCAAGCGGAUAAAACGGUGGUUUCCUAAACCACAACUCUGGGUUCGAGUCCCGGCGGGAGCACCA